GAUCCUGGCUUAGGAUGAACGCUAGCGACAGGCUAACACAUGCAAGUCGAGGGGCAUCACGGGAGUAGCAAUACAACUGGUGGCGACCGGCGCACGGGUGAGUAACGCGUAUGCAACCUACCUAUCAGAGGGGAAUAACCCGGCGAAAGUCGGACUAAUACCGCAUAAAACAGGGGCACCGCAUGGUGAUAUUUGUUAAAGAAAUUCGCUGAUAGAUGGGCAUGCGUUCCAUUAGGUAGUUGGUGAGGUAACGGCUCACCAAGCCGACGAUGGAUAGGGGAACUGAGAGGUUGGUCCCCCACACUGGUACUGAGACACGGACCAGACUCCUACGGGAGGCAGCAGUGAGGAAUAUUGGUCAAUGGGCGGGAGCCUGAACCAGCCAAGUCGCGUGAAGGAAGAAGGAUCUAUGGUUCGUAAACUUCUUUUGCAGGGGAAUAAAGUGCAGGACGUGUCCUGUUUUGUAUGUACCCUGAGAAUAAGGAUCGGCUAACUCCGUGCCAGCAGCAGC
rnacentral:rRNA from 1 species